AUGUAUUUUUUUAGCUGUAGCUGGAAACAAUACUUUUAUUUCAGUUAUUUAUUUUUAUGUGGUGCUGAGGAUCGAACCCAGGGUCUUGCACAUGUGAGAGUCACAGGUUGCUCUGCUGUGCAGAAACUGAGGAUCCCAAGCAGGCCAAGUCCGGAGAACCAGGAAAUGUUACUGUUAUCAUUCAAGGAUAUAGCCAUUGAUUUUACUGAAGAGGAGUGGGAAUGCCUUCAGCCUGCUCAGAAAAACUUGUAUAAAGAUGUGAUGUUAGAGAACUAUAGAAACUUUGCCUUCCUGGCUAUGAUGGUGAGAGCUGCAGCAGCCAAAUUGUGACCGUGAGCCAAAGGGCUGAAGAAUCAAAAGCCUUACUGUAGACAUUAUUGAGACCUAAGCCAAUGUUAAAAGGAUCUAUCCCCAAGCAUCUCAGUAUAUAAAGAAUAUAAGUGGUUGUUAUUUGAGCUACUGUGGUC